GCCCUCGUAGUUCAACGGAUAGAAUAUCUCCCUCCGAAGGAGGUGAUAGAGGUUCAAUUCCUCUCGAGGGCACCA
rnacentral:tRNA from 1 species